AGGGACUUAGGAUAACACUAGUCCAAGGGCCUUCAAAGUCCUAAGUGGGAGUGAAAAUCUCCCAGUCCCUG
rnacentral:tRNA from 1 species